rnacentral:rRNA from 1 species
GACGAACGCUGGCGGCGUGCCUAAUACAUGCAAGUCGAACGCAGUGGGGACGGGUGAGUAACACGUGGGUAACCUCCCAUCAGAGGGGAUAACCCUUGGAAACAGGUGCUAAACCGAUACUGAUGGAUGUACCCGCGGUGCAUUAGCUAGUUGGUGAUGUAACGGCUCACCAAGGCCACGAUGCAUAGCCGAACGGAGAGGGUGAUCGGCGACACUGGGAUUGGGACACGGCGCAGACUCCUACGGGAGGCAGCAGUGGGGAAUAUUGCGCAAUGGGCGCAAGCCUGAUGCAGCGAUGCCGCGUGUUUGAAGAAUGGCUUAGGGGUGUAGGACUUUCAGCGGGGAGUAUCGUUACCCGCAGAAGAAGCACCGGCUAACUCCGUGCCAGCCGCCGCGGGAAUAC